rnacentral:rRNA from 1 species
GACGAACGCUGGCGGCGUGCUUAACACAUGCAAGUCGAGCGGUAAGGCCCUUUCGGGGGUACGACGAGCGGCGAACGGGUGAGUAACACGUGGGUGACCUGCCCUCCAGCUCUGGGAGUAAGCCUGGGAAACCGGGUACUAGUACUGGAUAUGACUCCAUGACGCAUGUUGUGGGGUGGAAAGCCUUGUGCGGCUGAGGAUGGGCCCGCGGCCUAUCAGCUUGUUGGUGGGGUGAGGCCUACCAAGGCGACGACGGGUAGCCGGCCUGAGAGGGCGACCGGCCACACUGGGACUGAGACACGGGCCCAGACUCCUACGGGA